GUGUUGUGUGAGUAUGGUUUGGUGAGGAAGAAGAUGAAGGCGUGGGGAUUGAAGAGGGAUUCAGCUGGUGAUGUUAACGAAAGAAGAUUGAAAGUGGAAUGAAUCCUUGAACAAUCGAUUUUCUGAUUUGUGUAAUCUUCUCCGUUGUUUAUGGUUGCUGUAACUGAUUCAGGGUGUUUGGGCUGAUUCCUUUUUUUGCAGAGAAAGGGCAUGUGGUAAAAAU
rnacentral:lncRNA from 1 species